UGUACGGACACACAAUUGAGUAAAAGUUGUCCUUAAACUUCUUGGUAGAGUUCAUGUCUUGAGUGUGACAACUUCAACAUCUUAGCAGAAUUCGAUGGAGAAUGCAUCUUCCAUUUUCGUUCGCCAGACUGGACGAAUCUUCAAGCAGAAGAUACAGUGGCGUUGAAGGGAGAUUCAAAACUGUUACAAAUGAGGAAAUAGAGAAAUUUUUCGACUCCAGGCAAGCAAAAUCAACAAAAAGAAAUACAGCAUGGGGAUUUUUCAAGAUUGGAACAUGGAGAUCUAUGGUUCUGUACUAAUGGUGCAACAUUAGACCUGCAAACAGCAAAUGUGUCAACUCUUGCCAGUCAUCUCUCGUGAUUUUAUUGUGAAGCCAGCCCCAAAGAAAAAGUUGAUGAUGAUGUUUAGCCUUUGUACCACAAAAAUACUUUGAUCAAUAUCAAAGGAGCAAUAAAUCGCCAUCUUGCUGACAUUCAGAAAGAUGUAAAUAUAGUCCAUGACAAGGAGUUCAGAACAGCCAAUGGAAUCUUGGAUGGUUUCUUUAAAGAGCGAACCUGACUUGAUCUGUCAAAACCAACAUCACACAAAGAUAUUAUCGAGAUACAUGAUCUGCAGAAGAUUUAUAAAUACCUCCAAGGUGCCACAUCAUCACCAGUGGUUUUGCGCCAUGCUGUAUGGUACUUUCUGUCCAUCAAUUUUAUUACCAGAGGUUUAGAGUUCCACCAUAAGU